rnacentral:lncRNA from 1 species
CAACCCCCAAGGAGAAAAUGAAUUUGCAGAAAUGGAGUUCAUCAAUAUUACUGUGGUUACUUCAAAUAAACCAUAUGGUAUAUCUGAUGGAUCAAAUCCCUUUUUCGACGGCCGUAGAACUCCCAAGUUCAACUUAGAACGAAAUGGAGUUCAUAGUGGUCAUGUUCAGACUAUGGCCGUAGAACUCCCAAGUUCACCUUAGAACGGAAUGGAGUUCACAGUGGUCAUGUUCAGACUAGACUUCGUGAUCCAUUUUGCAUAGUCAAGAAUGGGAGGGGCAGAUGCCAGGUGAAGAUCAAUUGAUUCAUGUCAUUAUCGGUAAUAUGGUUUCUGGUUUUUGUCAAUAGUAAAUGACGAGAUUUUGUUGGUAAUUCCCGAAUCAUGAAUUAUGCUUGUUUGUUGUAAAGAUAGUCAAAGUUGGUAAAGGUACAACUUUUUUAUGUUCUCAAUCAACUAAGAAGAAAAAUUUUGAGAUAGGAAGAUGUUACUGAUGUAUGAUUUCCUUCUUAUACUUUCUGACUUUUAUGAUCUAUUCUUUGUUUCAUCAUUAUACUUCUAUAAAUGUU